rnacentral:lncRNA from 1 species
GCCAAUUGUUCAGUCGGGUUGCUAGCUUGCUGCUGAUACACGUUCUUCAGAACCUCCAUAGCCUCUACAACCUUAGCUUUUAAAGCAUCUGGUGAUUCUAGCUAGUGUAAAACCUUUGUCUGGUCCAUUUCCAAAAGCUUGCCCGUCACCUUAGCUGCCGUGUCAGGCUCUAAUUGUUCGACUAGUUGGUACAAAUUCUCGCCCAACAUAUCCUCUGUUUCGUGGGUGAGGCAUUUGCAAGAGCAGCUGCCAAAGCUCCAAUGUGCCUCCCCCACAUCAAUACCGACGCAUCAGCGUCGAAGAGAGAAGGUGAAGACGGCCCAACCCCAUUGCCUGUAGAUCGGAAAGAGAAAGGACGUCACGACGCUGCUUCGUCGCCGAUUGCUGUAGCCGCUGGCGUCAAACAAAUAGAGAGGGGAAGGGAAAGUGUGUUGAUGUAUGAAUGAUUAGGGUUAGAAAUGUGAAAUGAAUUGAGUGGAUUUAUUUAAUAUUUAAAUUAUUAAGUCAAUACCUAAUUUUUGUACAAUGAAAAUUUA